rnacentral:sRNA from 1 species
GCUGGGUGCAGUGGCGCAUGCUUGUAAUCCCAGUGGCUCAGGAGGCUGAGGCAGGAGAAUCGUGAGUUCAAAGCCAGCCUCAGCAAAAGCAAGGCACUAAGCAACUCCGUGAGACCCUGUCUCUA